rnacentral:rRNA from 1 species
GACGAACGCUGGCGGCGUGCUUAACACAUGCAAGUCGAACGGAAAGGCCCUGCUUGCAGGGUACUCGAGUGGCGAACGGGUGAGUAACACGUGGGUGAUCUGCCCUGCAAUUCGGGAUAAGCCUGGGAAACUGGGUGUAAUACCGGCCAGGAGACAUUUUUAGCGUGAUGGUUGGAAAGUUUUUUCGGUUUUUGGUGAGCCCGCUACCUAACAGCUUGCUGGGUGGGUAAUUGCGUACCAAGGCGGCGGCGGGUAGCCGGACUGAGAGGGUGGACGGCCACAUUGGGACUGAGAGACGGCCGAGACUCCGACUGGAGGCAGCAGGGCGGAAUAUUGCACGAGGGGCGCAAGCCUGAUGCAGCGACGCCGCGGGGGGGAUGACGGCCUUCGGGUUGUAAACCACUUUCGCAAGGGACGAAGCUUUUUGUGACGGUACCUAGAUAAGAAGCACCGGCUAACUACGUG